rnacentral:rRNA from 1 species
UGGGGAAUCUUGCGCAAUGGGCGAAAGCCUGACGCAGCGACGCCGCGUGGGGGAAGAAGGCCUUAGGGUUGUAAACCUCUUUCAGUAGGGACGAAGCCACUCGGGUUAAUAGCCCAGAGGGUGACGGUACCUACAGAAGAAGCCCCGGCUAACUACGUGCCAGCAGCCGCGGUAAUACGUAGGGGGCAAGCGUUGUCCGGAUUUAUUGGGCGUAAAGAGCGUGUAGGCGGCCAGAUAGGUCUGUUGUGAAAACUGGAGGCUUAACCUUCAGAGGUCGAUGGAAACCAUCUGGCUAGAGUCCGGAAGAGGAGAAUGGAAUUCCUGGUGUAGCGGUGAAAUGCGCAGAUAUCAGGAAGAACACCCGUGGCGAAGGCGGUUCUCUGGGACGGUACUGACGCUGAGACGCGAAAGCGUGGGGAGCGAACAGG